rnacentral:rRNA from 1 species
GUACGCUGGCGGCACGCCUAAUACAUGCAAGUCGAACGAAGUAGCAAUACUUAGUGGCAGACGGGUGAGUAAUAUGUAGGUAUCUUCCCAUUGGUGAGGAAUAACACGAGGAAACUUGUGCUAAUACCUCAUAAGUCUUUACGGAGAAAGCUUUAUGCGCCGAUGGAUGAGCCUGCACUUGAUUAGUUUGUUGGUAGGGUAAUGGCCUACCAAGACAAUGAUCAAUAGCUGAUUUGAGAGGAUGAUCAGCCACAUUGGGACUGAGACACGGCCCAAACUCCUACGGGAGGCAGCAGUAGGGAAUCUUGCACAAUGGGGGAAACCCUGAUGCAGCGAUGCCGCGUGAGUGAAGAAGGCCCUUGGGUUGUAAAGCUCUUUCGUCGGGGAAGAAAAUGACUGUACCCGAAUAAG